rnacentral:rRNA from 1 species
GAUGAACGCUAGCGGCAGGCUUAACACAUGCAAGUCGAGGGGUAACAGGAAGUGCUUGCACUUUGCUGACGACCGGCGCACGGGUGCGUAACGCGUAUAGAACCUACCUUAUAUUGGGGGAUAGCCCAGAGAAAUUUGGAUUAAUACCCCAUAGUAUUGGGAUGUGGCAUCACAACCUAAUUAAAGAUUUAUCGAUAUAAGAUGGCUAUGCGUUCUAUUAGCUAGUUGGUAUGGUAACGGCAUACCAAGGCUACGAUAGAUAGGGGCCCUGAGAGGGAGAUCCCCCACACUGGUACUGAGACACGGACCAGACUCCUACGGGAGGCAGCAGUGAGGAAUAUUGGACAAUGGAGGCAACUCUGAUCCAGCCAUGCCGCGUGCAGGAAGACUGCCCUAUGGGCUGUAAACUGCUUUUAUAGAAGAAGAAACCGCUCUACGAGUAGAGCUCUGACGGUACUCUACGAAUAAGGAUCGGCUAACUCCGUG